CAACACAGACGCACGCUGCAACUUUGGUCUCAGCUCCGCAUGCGUGCUCUCGGCUCGGCUUGACGUGUACGGUAGCUCAACUCCAUCAAAACCCGCGGCUCAACUCCAUCAAAUCCCGCAGCUCUGCUUGACAGCUUAGUUGGUCGGCUUGGCAGCUUAGCUUGGUGACUCGGUAUACUAUAAUUUAUCGAUUUCAAGGUUUUCGAUCCUUCCGAAGCCGUUUCUGCCUUAGUUUUACCAUCCGAGGACGUAUUUAACCGCUGGGAUUAGCUCGUUGUGAGUGACUUCAACCAAGACCAUCGAGGUAAAGGCAAGGCGCCAAUGUACGGCUGACGGCGGAGCUGAGGACACCAUGGAAGUUGGAGAUGGGA